rnacentral:rRNA from 1 species
GGGUGCGAUCAUACCAGUGUUAAUGCAUCGAAUCCCAUCAAAACUCCACAGUUAGGCGUGCUUGGGAUAGAGUAGUACUGGGAUGGGUGACCUCCUAGAAAGUCCUAGUGUUGCACCCU